GACGAACGCUGGCGGCGUGCUUAACACAUGCAAGUCGAACGGAAAGGCCCUGCUUUUGUGGGGUGCUCGAGUGGCGAACGGGUGAGUAACACGUGAGUAACCUGCCCUUGACUUUGGGAUAACUUCAGGAAACUGGGGCUAAUACCGGAUAGGAGCUCCUGCUGCAUGGUGGGGGUUGGAAAGUUUCGGCGGUUGGGGAUGGACUCGCGGCUUAUCAGCUUGUUGGUGGGGGAGUGGCUUACCAAGGCUUUGACGGGUAGCCGGCAUGGGAGGGUGACCGGCGACAUUGGGACUGCGAUACGGCGCAGACUCCUACGGGAGGCAGCAGUGGGGAAUAUUGCACAAUGGGCGGAAGCCUGAUGCAGAAACGCCGCGUGCGGGAUGCCGGCCUUCGGGUUGUAAACCGCUUUCGCCUGUGACGAAGCGUGAGUGACGGUAAUGGGUAAAGAAGCACCGGCUAACUACGUG
rnacentral:rRNA from 1 species